UACGUAGGGUGCGAGCGUUAAUCGGAAUCAUUGGGCGUAAAGAGCGUGUAGGCGGCCCGAUAAGUCCGCUGUGAAAGUCCAGGGCUCAACCCUGGGAUGCCGGUGGAUACUGUCGGGCUCGAGUCCGGAAGAGGAGUGUGGAAUUCCUGGUGUAGCGGUGAAAUGCGCAGAUAUCAGGAGGAACACCAAUGGCGAAGGCAGCACUCUGGGACGUGACUGACGCUGAGACGCGAAAGCGUGGGGAGCGAACAGG
rnacentral:rRNA from 1 species